GAGUUUGAUCUUGGCUCAGAUUGAACGCUGGCGGCAUGCCUUACACAUGCAAGUCGAACGGCAGCAUGAUCUAGCUUGCUAGAUUGAUGGCGAGUGGCGAACGGGUGAGUAAUACAUCGGAACGUGCCCUGUAGUGGGGGAUAACUAGUCGAAAGAUUAGCUAAUACCGCAUACGACCUGAGGGUGAAAGUGGGGGACCGCAAGGCCUCAUGCUAUAGGAGCGGCCGAUGUCUGAUUAGCUAGUUGGUGGGGUAAAGGCCCGACCAAGGCGACGAUCAGUAGCUGGUCUGAGAGGACGAUCAGCCACACUGGGACUGAGACACGGCCCAGACUCCUACGGGAGGCAGCAGUGGGGAAUUUGGACAAUGGGCGAAAGCCUGAUCCAGCAAUGCCGCGUGUGUGAAGAAGGCCUCGG
rnacentral:rRNA from 1 species